rnacentral:lncRNA from 1 species
ACAGGUGUUGCUGACUGGGUGAAAUUUAUUUCUGCAACUCAGCCCCUAUCCAAUGAAGUCCUGCAGGACACACUGAAGUGGAGAAUCUGACCCAGCAUCUGUGGUGAGCAGGAUGGAUGGACCGAGCAUCUGAGCAGCACCUUGGCCCAAGCUGAGCAGGUGCUACUGCUGCCAAUGACACAGAGUCCCAGACGUGAAGCUGUCUGUGCUCUCCUGGGGACGAGGGGACAACCUGUUACAAGCAGAUGUGGUUCUGGUAAGUGGCACUCUGAGCUUCUCCUGCAGAUACCCAGGGGAAAACUGAAAGCCUGCCUGCUGGAGGAGGAGUCUUAUUUGAACCAAAAAGUUUGGCUCUGUCACAGCAGGAAUUACUUGCUGCCUUCAGCUGGGCAAAGCUGCACAUUUU